AGAAAAGUAAGCUAAAUUAAGCUAAUGGGUUCAUACCCCAUUAAUAGAGGUUGUUCACUCUCUUCUCUA
rnacentral:tRNA from 1 species